rfam:Ajellomyces capsulatus NAm1 scaffold_1 genomic scaffold, whole genome shotgun sequence.
GCGGUUUUUGAGGAUGUCUUUUGUCCGCUUUCAAAUGCCCUCCAACAUCUAGCUUUAUCUUCGGCUCAUCUUGGAGAGGAAACAAAAACUAGUC